UCAGGAGCUGCCAUUGCUAUCUGCAACUGCCACGCACAACAGUUAGAUCAAAAGCUAGUAGCUAGCUAGGGAAAUAUAUACAGCUCUCCUUCUCUGCCUCUGUCUUCGUCUCUGAACUCCAGCCUCUGCUAUGGAGUACAAGGAGCAGCUUCAGCUGGAGAAGAAGAGUUCCCAGGAAGAAGAAGCCAUGGCGAUGGCGGCCUCGUCUCCUUCCUUCUUCCUAUGGCACCCCUUGUCUCUACUGCAUCACGUCACCCGCAGCUGCGCAGGCUACCUGGGCCUCUCUCGGCUCUGCCACGCCCUCAAGGAUCUGAAGCCUCGCGCCGCUACUUCGCCUCCCACAGCUACCUCUCCCCAGCUGCAUGAUGAAGAGGCCGGAGUAGGAGGCGCUGGACACGCUGCAGAUGAUGAUUGCGCGACCGUCGAAGUGCGCUCGAGAGGGGUGCCUCAGAGGCCUCGUGCUCCAAGAGAAGGACGAGGAGGAACACACCAUUAGGCUUAGCUUAGCCUGCGAACUGUAGACUAUAACAUUGAUGAAACGGCCAUGGGAAAUUCGCUGAGUGUGUUCUUUCUGGAACUCUGAGUUCAGAGUCUUAGAGUGACUGAGUGAGUGCUUCCAUCUCUUCAUGUUCUGGUAGCAAUACAAGUUUAAAUUUCAAGCCGGACA